GGUACCCAGUCUUUCUAUCAUUUACUCUGCUGUUGACAGGGUGGGCCUCGGGCUUGGACUCUUGGGAAUAUCACAGGUGGAUGCUAAGCUUCACCGCCAGAAUCACCACCUGGAGGACUGGCUCAUGGCCACCCACCUGGAACAGCCAACCAGAACUUGACUCCAGCUCCAAACUCACCACCAGCAAGACCCCAAGACAAGUGACCUCUGGGCCUCUACCCAUAAACAGACACAAGGACAAGAACAUACUAUGUGGGAGUGCCGUGGGAUGAGGCCUUACAAAGAGCCCCAGACUUGUCCUGUGGGACAAGUCCUGUGGGGCUUACUAUUCUGUUGCAGGUUGUCUGUAGCCCUUUGCCUUGCAAUGACAGUGGCUCAAUACUAGAGCCGUGCCAUCCCCACCUCCCCA
rnacentral:lncRNA from 1 species